UGGGGAAUCUUGCGCAAUGGCCGAAAGGCUGACGCAGCGACGCCGCGUGUGGGAGGACGCUCUUCGGGGUGUAAACCACUGUUGCCCGGGACGAACACACCAUUUCGAUGGUGCUGACGGUACCGGGUGAGGAAGCACCGGCUAACUCCGUGCCAGCAGCCGCGGUAAUACGGAGGGUGCGAGCGUUGUCCGGAAUCAUUGGGCGUAAAGGGCGCGUAGGUGGCCCGGUCAGUCAGUGGUGAAAGCGCGGGGCUCAACCCUGCGUCGGCCAUUGAUACUGCUGGGCUUGAGCACUGUAGAGGCAGGCGGAAUUCCGGGUGUAGCGGUGGAAUGCGUAGAGAUCCGGAAGAACACCGGUGGCGAAGGCGGCCUGCUGGGCAGUAGCUGACACUGAGGCGCGACAGCGUGGGGAGCAAACA
rnacentral:rRNA from 1 species